UUUGUUUUUAUUUUUUUCCAUCUCUCGCCUGCUGUCAGUGAGCGUCUAAAAACGUUUGCUGGCAGUUUUUUAAGCAUUUUGAUGAUGGCGGAGGACAGUGAGUCCGCGGCCAGCCAGCAGAGCCUGGAGCUGGACGACCAGGAUACGUGUGGGAUAGACGGAGACAACGAGGAGGAGAAUGAUCAUAUGCAGGGCAGUCCGGGAGGAGAGCUGGGGGCUAAGAGGAAGAAGAAGAAGCAGAAGAGGAAAAAAGAAAAGCCCAACUCGGGCUCGGGAGCCAAAUCUGACUCUGCUUCUGACUCUCAGGAAAUCAAGAACCCUGGCUUGCCCAUUCAGAAGCUCCAGGACAUCCAAAGAGCCAUGGAACUACUGUCCUGCCAGGGUCCAGCAAAGAGUAUCGACGAUGCAACCAAGCACAAAUACCAGUUCUGGGACACCCAGCCUGUCCCAAAGUUAAAUGAAGUCGUAACAAGCCACGGACCAAUUGAAGCUGACAAAGAAAACAUUAGACAGGAGCCAUAUUCUUUACCUCAAGGCUUUAUGUGGGACACUUUGGAUCUCAGUAAUGCAGAUGUAUUGAAAGAGUUGUACACGUUGUUAAAUGAAAACUAUGUGGAGGAUGAUGACAACAUGUUCAGAUUUGAUUAUUCACCAAACUUUCUCAAGUGGGCUCUUCGUCCCCCUGGUUGGUUGCCACAGUGGCACUGUGGAGUAAGAGUGUCCUCGAAUAAGAAGCUUGUUGGAUUCAUCAGUGCCAUGCCCGCCGACCUACGCGUCUAUGACACAAUAAAGAAGAUGGUAGAAAUCAACUUCCUUUGUGUUCAUAAGAAGCUGCGUUCGAAGCGUGUUGCUCCAGUGCUGAUCCGAGAGAUAACACGGAGGGUGAACCUGGAGGGAAUAUUCCAGGCAGUAUACACAGCCGGAGUUGUGUUGCCUAAACCCGUGUCUACGUGCAGGUACUGGCAUCGUUCAUUGAACCCUAGGAAACUUGUGGAAGUGAAAUUCUCCCAUCUUAGCAGAAACAUGACGCUGCAAAGAACCAUGAAGCUCUACAGGCUACCAGAUAGCACCAAGACUCGAGGCCUACGGCCGAUGGAGAGACGUGACCUCCAUCAGGUCACUGAGCUGUUACAAAAAUACCUGAGACGUUUCCAUCUCGCUCCUUCCAUGGGAGAAGAAGAGGUUGCUCACUGGUUCCUACCACAGGAAAACAUCAUUGACACAUAUGUUGUAGAGACUGCAGGUGGCGUACUGACAGAUUUUACUAGUUUCUACACUUUGCCCUCAACCGUGAUGCAUCAUCCUCUACACAGGAGCCUGAAGGCAGCGUACUCAUUCUACAGUGUCCAUACACAAACCCCACUACUGGACUUAAUGAAUGAUGCACUGAUCCUGGCAAAACUGUAUAACUUCGGUCAUCCUUCCAGAAGCUUCUCACAAAAGGUUUUGACGUUUUCAAUGCCUUGGAUCUGAUGGAGAAUAAGGUGUUUCUGGAGAAGCUGAAGUUCGGGAUAGGAGACGGAAACCUGCAGUAUUACCUCUACAACUGGAAAUGUCCCCCUAUGGAUCCUGAUAAGGUUGGCCUCGUCCUUCAGUAGCAGCUCGUUUCACAGCUGCUCCACCAACAGGCGGCGGUUAACUUUGGCCUCUAAAUUCUCCUUACUUGGACUUACGGGUCGCCCGAGCUCAGCAUUGAAAACUACUACCAGUCAACCAACCUCAUGACCAAGUGGUGGUAUCAUUAAGAACUUUUGCAGUCCACCCAGAGGUGAAACCUCUUCAAUCAUCAUCCUGAAUGUGAAGUCUUGCUAUGCCUGAGAUAUCCUUACAGUACAACGCUGUUGACAUGCACUCCCUCUCCUACAACACAAAACAGUCGGACGUUCCAGAGGAUGCCUUGGCAUUGUGAAUUUCGUUUCUAUUUCUUUAUUCUCUACAGACAUUGUCACCAGGCCUGGUAUUUACCCGUGUAAAGGAUGAUCAACGAGGCAGUUACCAUUUUCCCAUUCUGUUUAUCCUCUCCUCUUCAGUUCGCCGUCGUGCUGCUGAUCCAUGUAUUGUUUCCCUCUGUUUUCAUAUCACUGUGGUCAGUCAUGUGUCUCUGCUGGCUGUUUUAGGCCUAUGUAGAAUUAGAAACUGUAAAAGAUUGUUUCUAACUUAUACUGAAACACUUUAUUCUUCAGUAAUUUUACAAAAAUAUCUGUAACAAAGGAAGUCUCAUUCAAAACAACAAGAACUGUAACAUAGUUUGCACUAAAAACAAAACCCCAUGGAUUUCUGUAGUUUGAGUUGCAGGUUUGUUAGGGCUGACCUAAAACAUUCUUCGCAUUAAGUUAUGUAAAAGUCAGUGACUUUUUACAUAAGAAGCGACACAAGAAUGUACCGCAUCGAUGAAGCACAAUUUUACAAACAAGUCAAAUAGUUCUCUUAUGUAAGAUCUGAUCUUUAACAUUUAGUUUUGACUAAUGGUGGGAGCUGUUUUUAGAUUAUGAAGCUGACUUUUUGUAAUUUAACAUGUAACCCAUUCACGUGGCAGCAUUUAUGGUGGCACUCCUUCAUGUUUUUUGGUUUUGGUACUUUCCAGUUAGCAGUAGCGGUAAAAGAGCAGCAAUUGGACUUAGACUGAGAUUUUGUACAAAAUAAGCUUGUGUGUGGAGAAAAUUUAAUAACCUAAAAAUUGCUUUUUGGCUUCUAAAGGGGAGUAUUCAAGCAACCGCAGUCUAUUCUGUUUAAUUUUUGCCUUUGCCACUUGUAGAAGAUUUGGCAGAGAAAAUUCCCUCUGGUGCAAAGAAUCUGCUGUUAAGUGAUCAAUGGUUCAGAAGUGCAAUAUAUAUAUAUAUAUACAUAUGUAGAUGCAUUUACAGCCAUUGCAUAAUCUGAACCUGGGUUGUAAAUUCUAUGUUUAAUUAAUAUAGGAGAAUUUGGAGGAAACAUUUAAAUCAACAAGUUUCCGUAGGUUUAUUCUCGACUUUCUGAAGUCAUUUGCUUUUUUCCAGACAUAAAACUAUAUAGUAGGCCAUUUUGUUUUAGUGUGAUGUGCAGCUAAAUGUGUAAAAGUUGUAAUAUUUGUAAAACAUUGCUUUACCUAUAUGUUUUUGAGGGCAUUUGGCAGUUCUGUGUGCUUCAAUGAGCAAACCUUUUGACCAACCACUUGUUCUAAGGUGGAUCGAAACAAAAUUGUUUUACAUUCUUUUUGGUGAUUUAAUAUUUGUGGCUCUGCAAAAUAUAAGACAAAGAGGGUACAUCAGUUUUGUUUUAUUUUAUUCUUAAAAUGCUCUUUUUGUAUUUGUGUUUUUUCUCACAAUCCAUAAAGAUUGGCCAAAACGGGACAAAAACAUUGGUCAGUAAAAGCUCUGGAACUAAAGAUCGAGUUAGAUUCACAAAGAGAUGCUACUGUCAUUAAUUUAACUCUGAAAACGAGUUGCAGCGUCUACGGUGUGCCUCGUGUUGCCUGCAGCGGCUCAGAUGAACUUUUUGAGCAUCUCGGUUCUGCUGCCAUGUUGACUCCAGCGUUGAUGUUUUACAGCUGUAAACUCCAGUGGCUGAAACACCCACCAUGUCUUAAAGAUUUUCUUUAGGAGAUCUGGAAGGUGGGGCGAUGAGAGCGUAUGUCUGAAAUAUCAUACCGUCAAACUGAAGAACAAUGUUUUUAUUUAAAACCAUUGUGAACUGUGAAAAAGCUAAAGAACCUGUACCAGCAUCAUUUAGGCAUAAACCCAGUGCAAAUACCAGUCUGUUUCAACACAUCAGCUAAACCAGCAUGGAAAUUUGAUUGAAUAAACUUAAACUUUAAAAAGGAA